rnacentral:rRNA from 1 species
UGUGAACUCGAAGAGUAGGGCGGGACACGUGGUAUCCUGUCUGAAUAUGGGGGGACCAUCCUCCAAGGCUAAAUACUCCUGACUGACCGAUAGUGAACCAGUACCGUGAGGGAAAGGCGAAAAGAACCCCGGCGAGGGGAGUGAAAAAGAACCUGAAACCGUGUACGUACAAGCAGUGGGAGCACCUUCGGGUGUGACUGCGUACCUUUUGUAUAAUGGGUCAGCGACUUAUAUUCUGUAGCAAGGUUAACCGUAUAGGGGAGCCGCAGGGAAACCGAGUCUUAACUGGGCGUUAAGUUGCAGGGUAUAGACCCGAAACCCGGUGAUCUAGCCAUGGGCAGGUUGAAGGUUGGGUAACACUAACUGGAGGACCGAACCGACUAAUGUUGAAAAAUUAGCGGAUGACUUGUGGCUGGGGGUGAAAGGCCAAUCAAACCGGGAGAUAGCUGGUUCUCCCCGAAAGCUAUUUAGGUAGCGCCUCGUGAACUCAUCUUCGGGGGUAGAGCACUGUUUCGGCUAGGGGGUCAUCCCGACUUACCAACCCGAUGCAAACUACGAAUACCGAAGAAUGUUAUCACGGGAGACACACGGCGGGUGCUAACGUCCGUCGUGAAGAGGGAAACAACCCAGACCGCCAGCUAAGGUCCCAAAGUCAUGGUUAAGUGGGAAACGAUGUGGGAAGGCACAGACAGCCAGGAUGUUGGCUUAGAAGCAGCCAUCAUUUAAAGAAAGCGUAAUAGCUCACUGGUCGAGUCGGCCUGCGCGGAAGAUGUAACGGGGCUAAACCAUGCACCGAAGCUGCGGCAGCGACACUAUGUGUUGUUGGGUAGGGGAGCGUUCUGUAAGCCUGCGAAGGUGACCUGUGAGGGUUGCUGGAGGUAUCAGAAGUGCGAAUGCUGACAUAAGUAACGAUAAAGCGGGUGAAAAGCCCGCUCGCCGGAAGACCAAGGGUUCCUGUCCAACGUUAAUCGGGGCAGGGUGAGUCGACCCCUAAGGCGAGGCCGAAAGGCGUAGUCGAUGGGAAACAGGUUAAUAUUCCUGUACUUGGUGUUACUGCGAAGGGGGGACGGAGAAGGCUAUGUUAGCCGGGCGACGGUUGUCCCGGUUUAAGCAUGUAGGCUGGUUGUCCAGGCAAAUCCGGAUAAUCAAGGCUGAGGUGUGAUGACGAGGCACUACGGUGCUGAAGUAACAAAUGCCCUGCUUCCAGGAAAAGCCUCUAAGCAUCAGGUAACAU